UACAGAGGUCUCAAGCGUUGUUCGGAUUCAUUGGGCGUAAAGGGUGCGUAGGUGGCGAGGCAAGUCAGAUGUGAAAUCCCGGGGGCUCAACCCCCGGAACUGCAUUUGAAACUGCCUUGCUCGAGUACUGGAGAGGAGACUGGAAUUUACGGUGUAGCAGUGAAAUGCGUAGAUAUCGUAAGGAAGACCAGUGGCGAAGGCGAGUCUCUGGACAGUUACUGACACUGAGGCACGAAGGCCAGGGGGAGCAAACGGG
rnacentral:rRNA from 1 species